rnacentral:lncRNA from 1 species
CUGCUGCUGCUGCUGCUGCUGCUUACACAGCCAACUCCAGUCCACACCAGAGCCCUUCCUUCAGCUUCAACAGCCAAAAAUGAGGUCACCAACAACAUGAAAAGCCAGUUUUUGGUGAGAAACAAGUGUACCUAUCAGCUUCUGGGCCUAGCAAGAAAGGCUCUGGCCACUAGUAAAUUCAACACCAGUUCUUGCUCUUUCUUUG